rnacentral:misc_RNA from 1 species
GUAGGUGAGCCUGCGGAAGGAUCAUUAUUGAAUUAAACCUGAUAAGUUGCUGCUGGUUCUCUAGGGAACACUGUGCACGCUUGUCAUCUUUAUAUCUCCACCUGUGCACCUUUUGUAGACCUGGAUGUCUCUCCGAGUAGUGCUUUUUUUUGCACCUUGGGUUUUGAGGAUUGGCUUUAUUGUCUCUACCUUACAUUUCUAGGUCUAUGUUUUUUAUCAUAUACCCCAAUUUAUGUUAUAGAAUGUAAUACAUGGGACUUUGUGCCUAUAAACUUUAUACAACUUUCAGCAACGGAUCUCUUGGCUCUC